rnacentral:lncRNA from 1 species
GCUUGAUUUCAACUGACAAAAAAAAUUUGGUGUUUUUUAUAUGCUAAAUAUACAUCUGCAUGUACCGUGGUCUUAUCAGGCUGUGCAUGGCGAAGCUUUUUAUUGCCUUUAGGUUUGUUCUUUUUUUUGUUUUGGUCCUAAAAAUAAAUUUGUAGAUGUGAAGUUGCUAACAUGAGAGUACACAAAUUGCACCUAUAUUGUCAGUUUUUUCACCAACUUUUUUUUAUGAACCAUUCUAUGCUUAUUUUGUAG